rnacentral:rRNA from 1 species
CAGCCGUAAACUAUGCGCGUUAGGUGUAUCGGUGACCACGAGUUACCGAGGUGCCGAAGGGAAACCGUGAAACGUGCCGCCUGGGAAGUACGGUCGCAAGGCUGAAACUUAAAGGAAUUGGCGGGGGGAGGCACAACAACGGGUGGAGCCUGCGGUUUAAUUUGGACUCAACGCCGGACAACUCACCGGGAACGACAGCAAUAUGUAGGCCAGGCUGAAGACCUUGCCUGAAUCGCUGAGAGGUGGUGCAUGGC